GGGACCCUUACAAUUCUAAUCCUUCUAAACCUUAAAUUGAAUAGUGUCAAUUCCCCAAUUUAAUCCGUGAACAACAUCCAGCCGUCUAGCCUUAAUAAUAGCCUCCCGAAAACGACAUCGCUUUUCUAACAGUAACCUUAAAAAAAAAUUCCCAAACACAGUGUCAGACUUGUGAACGCAAUUACAUGUAUGACUUUUACGUCAUGACAUUAGUGCCAUCCUGGAAACUUCGUAGUCAACGAAAUGUGCAAGUCCUGAAUAGGAAUUUCACAUCCUUUUUCACCUGUCCUAUGCUUUCGCAACCUUGCACACUAAGAUACACAAAAUAGCAUUAAUUAUCAAUAAGCUACACCAACAUCCCAACACAAUUAGCCUUUCUAAUACCCAUUAAUUUAACUAAUUAAUUACAAUAUUUACACAUUUUCUCUUCACCUUCGUCCUUUUCCAUCUCCAUGGUCAUGCACAAACCCCAUAUAUAAGAAUACCCUUUUCUUCUUUCCUCUCCAAGUUCAAGCUCAACGCGCAAAACCCUUCUCUCUAAUCAGUUGACGGUAGUACGGUUCUGGUUGUUCAUGGAGUUAUUUACCAAAACCAUGGCAGUCAAACUUCGAAGUCACCUUGAUAAGUACAUGAUCGCCGAUGACGAUGGGGAAACUGUCCGUCAGAGCAAAAAUGGCUCGUCCCGUAAAGCCAGAUGGCUUGUGGAGCUCGUGGAAGGGAGAACAGACGCUGUCCGUCUCAAAACCUGCGAUGGCAGAUACCUUACUGCCUCUGAUUUACCCUUUCUUUUAGGUAUGACAGGGAAAAGGGUAAUUCAAACUCUGCCUGAAAAGAUUACUGACUUGAAUCUCGAGUGGGAGCCUAUAAGGGACGGGUUUCAGGUGAAACUAAAAAGCUGGUGUGGGAAAUUCUUGCGUGGAAACGGUGGUACACCGCCGUGGAGAAACUCAGUUACUCACGAUGAGCCUCACACGGGUUCAACACUGAGGUGGAUUCUGUGGGAUGUAGAGUCAGUGGAAGCAGUUGAAACGGAGACGUUGGCAGAGUAUUUAUCGUCCAUGUCGAGUUUUUCUUCGGUUCCUGAGGAUGUUCUUGAAGCAGCUUCCGAUGAGUAUUUGGGGUCAGAACCUGGUUCACCGAUUUCAGUUGUGUCAUCGAGGAGGACUCCAAGAUUGACUGUCAUCAAGUCCAUGUCUCCAAGAUUAUCUCCAAAGAAGUCCAUUUCUAACCACUUCCGGUCAGCUAUGGAGUUCUUCCACAACGCCAAGGCCGUGCGUCUCCGUAGUCACCACGACAAGUACCUGCACGCUGAGGAAGAUGAGGAGUCCGUCUCUCAAGACCGAAGCGGAUCCUCCAAGAACGCUAGAUGGUAUGUCGAGUUGGUCCCUGGAUCCGACACCAUAAUCCGCCUUAAGUCUUGCUAUGGUAAGUACCUUACCGCCUCUAACAAUCCUUUUCUUCUCGGCAUGACCGGUCGCAAGGUCCUCCAGACUUUGCCUAGGAGGCUUGAUUCCUCCGUCGAGUGGGAGCCCAUCAGGGAUGGAACUCAUAUUAAGCUCAAGACCCGGUAUGCAAACUUCUUGAGAGCUAACGGGGGGCUUCCGCCUUGGAGAAAUUCGGUGACUCAUGAUAUUCCUCAUAGGACUGCUACUCAGGAUUGGGUUCUUUGGCAUGUUGAUGUUGUGGAGAUUCAAGUCAAAUCUUCGCAUCAAAAGAAGUCGGAGCCGCAACCCACCUCUCAUUUAGAUUCUUUGGAUUUCGAUUCCAGUUCGCCUUCUUCCGUCUCUAUCAAAUCUGACACUUUUUCGAGACGAGAGUCGACUGAAUCUAAUGUGAGUUCGCCUCCUAAAUCUGAGGGAAGAACUAUAUACUACCACGUGGCUGAUGAGAAUGGGAACGUCUGUGAUGAUAUUGUGGAGGCUUACUCGCAGAAUUUUAAGGGAAAUGGGGUUGAUGAGUUGACUCAGAAAUUAAGGGAAGAGACGGGUUUUCAGGAUAUUAUUGUAUGUUCUCGUAGUCCUUUGAAUGGAAAGCUUUAUCCACUUCGAUUGCAGCUUCCUCCAAACAAUGCCGAUAUGCAUGUUAUUGUACUUCACUCAUCAUCCAAAGUGGCCAGAGAUUUUGCAAAACAAGGAGUCAAAUUAUGAGAUACAAUGGAUGGACAUUACAGUUUUGUUAAGUUUUCACAAGCAUAUCUUUUGUACAUUCUAUUCAGUCCUCUUAUCAUCUAGUUGAAAGCACAAAGACAACCUAUGGAAACGGAGCUACCGUUUCCAACCAUGGAGGUUAGACAUCAAGAAGUUAAAACAGUCUCGCGGAGUGAAGCUAUUUGCAGGAGUGUCGUUGCAAUUGCAGAUGGUCAAUGUAGUGUUGAUGCUUCUUGCCCCAUUAUAGUGCUGCACAAUAUUAGUCUACUUGGAACAUAAUUAUAGCAUGAUUUCUUUAUAGCUUUGUUGAUUAAUUUUUGUUGUAAAAUAAUUUUGUCGCACCAAUUUGUGUGUGAAAAAUGUGUUGUUUCGGCGAUUUGGUGUGUAG
rnacentral:misc_RNA from 1 species